rnacentral:rRNA from 1 species
UAGGGAAUAUUGGGCAAUGGAGGGAACUCUGACCCAGCCACGCCGCGUGCAGGAGGAAGGCGCUCUGCGUUGUAAACUGCUUUAGCAGGGGAAGGAAAAGGCCAUGCGUGGCAAAUUGACGGUACCCUGAGAAUAAGCACCGGCUAACUACGUGCCAGCAGCCGCGGUAAUACGUAGGGUGCAAGCGUUGUCCGGAUUUAUUGGGUUUAAAGGGUGCGUAGGCGGCCUAUUAAGUCGGUGUUUAAAUUUUGCAGCUUAACUGUAGGUAUGGCAUUGAUACUGAUGGGCUUGAAUAUUAGAGAGGUAGCUAGAAUUUAUGGUGUAGCGGUGAAAUGCAUAGAUACCAUAAGGAACACCGAUAGCGGAGGCAUGUUACCAUCUGGUU